rnacentral:rRNA from 1 species
UGACCUCUGACCUCAAAUCAGGUAGGACUACCCGCUGAACUUAAGCAGGACUACCCGCUGAACUUAGC